rnacentral:rRNA from 1 species
CACGUAGGGGGCGAGCGUUGUCCGGAUUUAUUGGGCGUAAAGAGCUCGUAGGCGGUUUGUCGCGUCUGCUGUGAAAACCUAAGGCUCAACCUUGGGCUUGCAGUGGGUACGGGCAGACUAGAGUGCGGUAGGGGUGACUGGAAUUCCUGGUGUAGCGGUGGAAUGCGCAGAUAUCAGGAGGAACACCGAUGGCGAAGGCAGGUCACUGGGCCGCAACUGACGCUGAGGAGCGAAAGCAUGGGGAGCGAACAGG